GUGCUUGCUUAGGCAGCACAUACACUAAAAUUGGAAGGAUACAAAGAUUUGCGUGGCCCCUGAGCAAGAAUGAUACGCAAUUUAUAAAUUGUUUGAUAUUUAACAUAUUUUU